ensembl:lncRNA
CGGGUGUCUGGUCACUGCUUAAUGCCUAUGUGAAAUCCAGUCCUGAAGAAAAACCAGUUGAGAACCACUGAUCUAGUUUAUGUGUCUAGAUUUUAGUAGAUAUCAAGCCUAUAACCUGAACCAUUCCGCUUUCAUCACUACAGACAGAGAGAAAAGCAAAGUGCUGUUAAGGUUUGCACUUUCAAAGAAACAACUUAUCAGUGCGGUCAAUGAAAGAAUGGUCUGACUGUCCGUUUUAUGAGGCUGAUAUUUCAAGGAUGCAAUUACAAGCAGCAAGGCCUGAUUUUUUUGUCCAGUUUUUCUUUCUUUCUUUCCUUCCACACAACAUAAAUCAACGUCUAUAGAUGUUAUGGACAGCAGACUACAGCGCUUAUGCUUUGUGAUGUUUCCCAAGAUGCCAUUCUAAUUUGUUUUUCUCUACUGUACAGCACAUAAUAGGGGUGUGUGAGAGCUGUCUCUCCUGUUCAUCUGCACUAGUGACAGAUUUUCAGGUCAGGUGCUUCCCAUCUCCUCUACAUCACUCUUUACUUUUGUUCUUUUUUAUGCUGCUUUUUACUCAUCUCCCCCUUCCUCCUCGCUUUUAUGCCUGAUACCUUUCAUCCUCAUAGUUCCCCCUUGGCUCCUGCAUCGUUUGGCUCCCCACCCCCUACCUCUCGCUGGCCUGCCUGAGCCCUCUAUCUCUUCAGAUUGUGUCCCAUCAGACGAGCGGCCUUGUGGGUAAUGGGUGCGCAAAUCCCCCACCACUCCCCGCAUCUCUCAUGUUGGUGAAACCUGUCGGCAUGGGAAUGCCAGUCUUGAUCACCCUUAUCAAAGGAAGCCUCGUUCCUCUUGCUAUGCCUGGAGGUGCUUUAGAGAGGAAAGAGAAGAUCUGUCAAAUGGCUUGGAUGAGCUCGAGACAGACAGGAACAGAGAAGAUGUUGUGAUGAGGAGGGGUGAGGAGUGUUCCUGAGUCUGCUGUUCAUUGUCCGGAGGCUCCUGAGGCCCCUCCUGGAGGCAGGAGGUUAAACAGUCUAUGCUCAGGGUGAGAGGAGUCUUAAGAAUGAGGUGAGCUUGACGUAGACUGCGUUUUCUCUGGAUGUCAUUAAAAGCAGGAAGUGGUGUCCCUGUGAUGCGUUGGGGGGUUUUCACCACCCUCUGCAGUGCGUUGCAUUCAGCAACUGAGCAGUUCCCAUACCAGACUGUGAUACAACUGGUCAGGAUGCUUUCGAUCGCACACCGGUAAAAGUUCACCAUGAUGGCUGAAGACAGCUGGUUCUUCUUCAGUGUCCUAAGGAAGAAGAGGCACUGGUCGGCCUUCUUGACCUGGCUGGAGGUGUUUGGGGUCCAGGACAGGUCCUACGAGAUGGUGGUUACC